rnacentral:misc_RNA from 1 species
GCCCCCUUCCCCAUCUCUUUCUCUCUCUAAAUGCCCUAAAAAUCCAAUAUAAAACACACCCUUUUCUUCUCCAUAGCCGCUAUAUCUCAUCUCAGUCUUAUCACUCUUCUUCAUCCACAUCUAGUCAACAAUCAGUCACUCAAAACAGAGGCGAAUCAAACAACAACUACACAGAUCAUCUUUUUCUUCUUAUCCUCUUCAAAAUCCAUUCUUUUUCAAGAAAAUCGGUUCAGAUUUGAAAAUGUUUUCUUAAAAAACACAGAUUUUGAUUUUUUUUUGUUGAUAUAGUUAAA